rnacentral:rRNA from 1 species
CAGCCGUAAACGAUGCGCGUUAGGUGUAUCGACGACCACGAGUCGUCGAGGUGCCGAAGGGAAACCGUGAAACGUGCCGCCUGGGAAGUACGGUCGCAAGGCUGAAACUUAAAGGAAUUGGUGGGGGAGCACCACAACAGGUGGAGCCUGCGGUUUAAUUGGACUCAACGCCGGAAAUCUCACCGGAUAGGACAGACAUAUGAUAGUCGGGCUGAAGACUCUACUUGAUGAUCUGAGAGGAGGUGCAUGGCGUAGUCGUGU